rnacentral:rRNA from 1 species
GAUGAACGCUGGCGGCGUACCUAAUACAUGCAAGUCGAGCGAACGGACUAGAAGCUUGCUUCUCUGAUGUUAGCUGCGGACGGGUGAGUAACACGUGGAUAACCUACCUAUAAGACUGGGAUAACUUCGGGAAACCGGAGCUAAUACCGGAUUAUAUUUUUAACCGCAUGGUUCAAAAUUGAAAGACGGUCUUGCUGUCACUUAUAGAUGGAUCCGCGCUGCAUUAGCUAGUUGGUAAGGUAACGGCUUACCAAGGCAACGAUGCAUAGCCGACCUGAGAGGGUGAUCGGACACACUGGAACUGAGACACGGUCCAGACUCCUACGGGAGGCAGCAGUAGGGAAUCUUCAGCAAUGGGAGAAAGCCUGACGGAGCAACGCCGCGUGAGUGAUGAAGGUAUUCGGAUCGUAAAACUCUGUUAUUAGGGAAGAACAUAUGUGUAAGUAACUGUGCACAACUUGACGGUACCUAAUCAGAAAGACACGGAUAACUACGUG